AGAGUUUGAUCCUGGCUCAGGAUGAACGCUAGCUACAGGCUAACACAUGCAAGUCGAGGGGCAUCAUGACGAUAGCUUGCUAUUGUUGAUCGGCGACCGGCGCACGGGUGAGUAACGCGUACUCCUAACCUUCCCCUUAGUAGGGCAUAGCCCGGCGAAAGUCGGAUUAAUACCCUAUGUUAUUCGUAGAGGACAUCUGAAAUGAAUCAAAGAUUUAUCGCUAAGGGAUGGGGAUGCGUCCGAUUAGGUAGUCGGCGGGUAACGGCCCACCGAGCCUUCGAUCGGUAGGGGUUCUGAGAGGAAGGUCCCCCACACUGGUACUGAGACACGGACCAGACUCCUACGGGAGGCAGCAGUGAGGAAUAUUGGUCAAUGGGCGUAAGCCUGAACCAGCCAAGUAAGCGUGCAGGAUGACGGCCCUAUGGGUUGUAAACUGCUUUUAUACGGGGAUAAAGUGAGGGACGUGUCCCUUAUUGUAGGUACCGUAUGAAUAAGGACCGGCUAAUUCCGUGCCAGCCGCAGC
rnacentral:rRNA from 1 species